rnacentral:rRNA from 1 species
AUGCUCACCGGCGUUCUGUUUCGAGAUAUUGAUUGGGUGUUGGGUAUGGGUGUUUGCAGGUGGGCCUACUUUAUUCCCGGCUCUGAUGUCAGUGGACAUGCACCGUUCUUGUGUGGAUUUGAGCGUCGUGGCAUGUGGUGGCUCUUUGUCAGACGCAUCAACGGCUGGUGUUGUCACCAGGAGCAGAGCGGUGUUACCAUUAUUGACAUCGUAUUUAAGUGGAUGGCUGAAAUAGAUUUGGAAGUAAUUGUAUAUGUGUUGUCAACAUGGUAUCAUAUCACUUUGUGGAAUGGUAUGGAGGAGGUCGCCAUCACCACCGGCGAAGAGGAUGCGGACGUCCUCCUUCAUAUCGAGGUUGUACUACCAUCAAAAUGCUCAAUCCCAUGGAGACUGCCAAGUUCCGCCUCAUCAUGA